rnacentral:lncRNA from 1 species
ACUGGAAACAACCAUAAGAAAAUAAAAGAAAUGGAAGUAGAAUCAUACCUCAGUUCUUCUAAUUUCUUUUCCUGUCUUUUCUUUAAGUAUUAUUUUUAGUCCCUCUAAAGUUUUAGAAAUUCGUUCUUAGUCCUUGAAAAAUAAAAUCGCAAUUUCAUUCAUAUCCUGAACUGCACUUCAAUUGGUUCCACACCAUACAUGAAAAAAAGUGGUAGAAACCUUGAUAUACGGUUGAAGUAUGUUCAUCUUUCGGUUGAAAGUUCAAUGGCUGCUACUAACAAAACUGUUAUAUAAUGGCAGAUAGUGACAGAAUGAGACAAAACAUUAAGAUUGUUUAUCACUUUAUUUCUUUCAUGGACAAAAUUGGUGGUUUUACUAAAAUUGUAGCUCAUGAAACAUAACUUUUACAUUAUGAGUAAAGUGUUAAUAAUGUUUUUUACGGUCAAUAUGGCUUCCAAAUACUAGCAACAGUUUAUAGAACAAAUAAUAUUCAUCGAUUCCGUUGGGGUCAUCAAGGCAGCAUACAGUCUCAAUCUUUAGGCUCGUAUUUAUAUUCAUUGAUGAUUCCUUUCGGGUCAUUGAGGCAUCCAAUCCAACCCUUAUAUUAUGAAUGAAUGAAAUUCAAUUCAUAUCGAUAUCGCAUCAAAGGCAUCAGACAACUUUUACAUUAUGAGUAAAGUGUUCAUAUUGUUUUUUACAAUCAAUAAGGCUUCCAAAUACUAGCAACAAUUUAUAGAACAAAUAAUAUUCAUCGAUUCCUUUCGGGUCAUGAAGGCAGCAUAUAGUCUCAAAAUUGAGGCUCAUAUUUAUAUUCAUUGAUUCCUUUCGGAUCAUUGAGGCAUCCAAUCCAUCCC